ACUCAGUGAAUGUUUGUACUCAUAGUGUAUGUUCAACACAUAUCUCUGGUUUCUUCUCUAAAGUCCCACCAUGGAUAUAUUUACUAGCAUCUGUGUUGGGUAAGUCACUGUCUCAGCAACCUAUUGUCAAACUGGCUCUUGUGUUUGAAAUGAAACCUUUCCUGUGGUUUCAGACUGUUUCUGCUCUGUGUUGAGCUUGGCUGGAGGGUAGAGGCUGCAGGAGAUCAGGGAGGGCAUCGGGAGGUUCCGAUUGAGUCCGAGUGUCGGGACCGCUACCUGUGGCUUCAUGUUGCUGCGACCGGAGUUGCGCCUCAGUUUGAGGCUGUAGAUAACCAGGUGGUCCACUCCAUCAGUGGUCAGAAUGGACAGAGCUGUGGCUACACCAUCAGUCAAUUCAGAAUGGACGGCUACACCACCUUCAGGGCGUCCUACUACUCCUGCUACACCAGCAACCAGGUGGGGUUCAUGCUCCUCCUCUUAACCAAGACUCUCCUCCUCUGGACCAAGAGCCUUCUCCUCCUCUUGAACAGGACUCUCCUCCUCCUCUUGACCAGGACUCUCCUCCUCCUCCUAUUGACCAGGACUCUCCUCCUCCU